AUGUCACGUCGAGGUACUGCAGAAAAAAUUACUGCAAAAUCCGAUCCAAUUUUUCGUAAUCGAUUAGUUAACAUGGUGGUUAACCGUAUUAUGAAAGAUGGAAAAAAAAUCAUUGGGCCCAUUGGGCCGGCUUUAGGAUUAUGCUUACUCCUACUGUGGAGAAAACCAGAGGAGUCCGACUACCAUUUCUUCGUAUGA
rnacentral:rRNA from 1 species